rnacentral:rRNA from 1 species
GAUUCAAGUUUGAAAGGCGGCGCAAGCUGUCACUUUAGGAUGAGCCCGCGGCGCAUUAGCUAGUUGGUGGGGUAAAGGCCUACCAAGGCAAUGAUGCGUAGCCGAGUUGAGAGACUGAUCGGCCACAUUGGGACUGAGACACGGCCCAAACUCCUACGGGAGGCAGCAGUAGGGAAUCUUCCACAAUGGACGCAAGUCUGAUGGAGCAACGCCGCGUGAGUGAAGAAGGUCUUCGGAUCGUAAAGCUC